rnacentral:rRNA from 1 species
GACGAACGCUGGCGGCGUGCCUAAUACAUGCAAGUAGAACGCUGAAGGAGGAGCUUGCUCUUCUGGAUGAGUUGCGAACGGGUGAGUAACGCGUAGGUAACCUGCCUGGUAGCGGGGGAUAACUAGUGGAAACGAUAGCUAAUACCGCAUAAGAGUAGAUGUUGCAUGACAUUUACUUAAAAGGUGCAAUUGCAUCACUACCAGAUGGACCUGCGUUGUAUUAGCUAGUUGGUGGGGUAACGGCUUACCAAGGCGACGAUACAUAGCCGACCUGAGAGGGGGAUCGGCCACACUGGGACUGAGACACGGCCCAGACUCCUACGGGAGGCAGCAGUAGGGAAUCUUCGGCAAUGGACGGAAGUCUGACCGAGCAACGCCGCGUGAGUGAAGAAGGUUUUCGGAUCGUAAAGCUCUGUUGUAAGAGAAGAACGAGUGUGAGAGUGGAAAGUUCACACUGUGACGGUAUCUUACCAGAAAGGGACGGCUAACUACGUG